UCCAAGCGUUGUUCGGAAUUACUGGGCGUAAAGAGAUGCGUAGGCGGUCCGGCAAGUUUCUACUGAAAGCUCAAGGCUCAACCUGAGACUAGUAGAAAAACUGCUGAACUAGAGAAUAUGAGGGGAACCUGGAAUUUCUGGUGUAGGAGUGAAAUCCGUAGAUAUCAGAAGGAACACCAAUGGCGAAGGCAGGGUUCUGGCAUAUUUCUGACGCUGAGGCUCGAAAGCGUGGGGAGCGAACGGGAUUAGAUACCCCGGUAGUCCACGCCGUAAACGAUGAACACUAGCUAUUGAGGGGUAUCGACCCCCUUCGAAGCGAAGCUAACGCGUUAAGUGUUCCGCCUGAGGACUACGGCCGCAAGGCUAAAACUCAAAGGAAUUGACGGGGACCCGCACAAGCGGUGGAGCGUGUUGUUUAAUUGGAUGAUAAGCCAAGAACCUUACCCAGACUUGACAUCCUUGGAAGGCUCUCGAAAGAGAACUGUGCCUUUUGGAACCAAGUGACAGGUACUGCAUGGCCGUCGUCAGCUCGUGUCGUGAGAUGUUAGGUUAAGUCCUUCAACGAGCGCAACCCUUAUGUUUAGUUGGAUUUUUCUAGACAGACUGCCUCGGUAACGGGGAGGAAGGAGGGGAUGAUGUCAGGUCCGUAUUGUCCUUACGUCUGGGGCUACAAACGCGCUACAAUGGCCGGUACAAUGAGCAGCGAAGCAGCAAUGUGUAGCAAACCUCAUCAAAGCCGGUCCCAGUUCGGAUUGCAGGCUGAAACUCGCCUGCAUGAAGGUGGAAUCGCUAGUAAUCGUAGGUCAUCACACUACGGUGAAUACGUUCCCGGGUCUUGUACACACCGCCCGUCAUACCAUGGAAGCUGGAAGCACCCGAAAUCUAAGCAUUUGCUUGGCCUAAGGUGAGACUAGUGACUGGGGUAAAGUCGUAACAAGGUAGCCGUAACNUNUC
rnacentral:rRNA from 1 species